CCUACGGGAGGCAACAGUAGGGAAUAUUGCUCAAUGGGGGAAACCCUGAAGCAGCAACGCCGCGUGGAGGAUGAAGGUUUUAGGAUUGUAAACUCUUUUUGUUAGAGAAGAUAAUGACGGUAUCUAACGAAUAAGCACCGGCUAACUCCGUGCCAGCAGCCGCGGUAAUACGGAGGGUGCAAGCGUUACUCGGAAUUACUGGGCGUAAAGGGCGCGUAGGCGGGAUAGCAAGUCAGAUGUGAAAUCCUAUGGCUUAACCAUAGAACUGCAUUUGAAACUGUUAUUCUAGAGUAUGGGAGAGGUAGGUGGAAUUCUUGGUGUAGGGGUAAAAUCCGUAGAGAUCAAGAAGAAUACUCAUUGCGAAGGCGACCUGCUAGAACAUAACUGACGCUGAUGCGCGAAAGCGUGGGGAGCAAACAGGAUUAGAUACCCCAGGAGUC
rnacentral:rRNA from 1 species